rnacentral:rRNA from 1 species
UACGUAGGGCGCAAGCGUUGUCCGGAAUUAUUGGGCGUAAAGAGCUCGUAGGCGGUCUGUUGCGUCCGCUGUGAAAACCCAGGGCUUAACCCUGGGCUGGCAGUGGAUACGGGCAGACUAGAGGUAGGUAGGGGAGAAUGGAAUUCCCGGUGUAGCGGUGAAAUGCGCAGAUAUCGGGAGGAACACCGGUGGCGAAGGCGGUUCUCUGGGCCUUACCUGACGCUGAGGAGCGAAAGCGUGGGGAGCGAACAGG